rnacentral:lncRNA from 1 species
GUCUAUGCCAAAAUCUAUUUCCCUUUCGGGAGGAACACCGGGAAGGUCAUUAGGAAAGACAUCAAGGAAUUCAUUUACAACCGGAACCGACUCUAUAGGAAGGGUUUUGGACUCCACAUCCCUAACCCUCACAAGAUGAUAGAGACACCCCUUAGAGAUCAACUUACGGGCUUUAAUGCAAGAGAUGAACCUACCCUUGACUACCACAUUUUGGCUCUCCCAC